UAGGGAAUCUUCCGCAAUGGGCGAAAGCCUGACGGAGCAACGCCGCGUGAGUGAUGAAGGUCUUCGGAUCGUAAAACUCUGUUAUUAGGGAAGAACAAAUGUGUAAGUAACUAUGCACGUCUUGACGGUACCUAAUCAGAAAGCCACGGCUAACUACGUGCCAGCAGCCGCGGUAAUACGUAGGUGGCAAGCGUUAUCCGGAAUUAUUGGGCGUAAAGCGCGCGGAGGCGGUUUUUUAAGUCUGAUGUGAAAGCCCUCGGCUCAACCGUGGUAAGUCCUUUGAAACUGGAAAACUUGAGUGCAGAAGAGGAAAGUGGAAUUCCAUGUGUAGCGGUGAAAUGCGCAGAGAUAUGGAGGAACACCAGUGGCGAAAGCGACUUUCUGGUCUGUAAUUGACGCUGAUGUGCUAAAGCGUGGGGAUCAAACAGG
rnacentral:rRNA from 1 species